GAUGAACGCUAGCUACAGGCUUAACACAUGCAAGUCGUGGGGCAGCAUGAAGGAAGCUUGCUUCCUUUGAUGGCGACCGGCGCACGGGUGAGUAACGCGUAUCCAACCUUCCCCUUACUAGAGGAUAGCCCGGCGAAAGUCGGAUUAAUACUCUAUGUUCUCCUUUGAUGGCAUCAGAUGAGGAGCAAAGAUUCAUCGGUAAGGGAUGGGGAUGCGUCUGAUUAGCUUGCCGGCGGGGUAACGGCCCACCUGGCCUACGAUCGUUAGGGGUUCUGAGAGGAAGGUCCCCCACACUGGUACUGAGACACGGACCAGACUCC
rnacentral:rRNA from 1 species